rnacentral:rRNA from 1 species
AUAGCUCACUAGUCGAGAGGUCCUGCGCCGAAAAUGUCCGGGGCUGAAACACGACACCGAAGCUGUGGAAUUGACUUAUGGUCAAUUGGUAGAGGAGCAUUCUUAACUGCGGCGAAGCGUUACCGUAAGGAGGCGUGGAGCGUUAAGAAGAGAGAAUGCCGGAAUGAGUAGCGAGAUGGAGGUGGGAAUCCUCCAGGCCGAAUAUCUAAGGUUUCCAGAGUAAAGCUGAUCUGCUCUGGGUAAGUCGGGGCCUAAGGCGAGGUCGAAAGACGUAGUCGAUGGACAACAGGUUGAAAUUCCUGUACCGCGUAUUAUCAGAACUGUGGGGACACAGAACCGAAGCCAAACCCGGGAAUGAAAAGACCGGGGCAAGCGCCGGACUGGUUAGACUGGAAAAUCCGUUUAACAACAGGAAAGCGUGACGCGUACCGAACAAAAGUAGGGAAGUUGGUAUAGGGGCUGUCAAGAAAAGCCGCUAUUGUGUAAUACGUGCCCGUACCGUAAACCGACACAGGUGGAUGAGGAGAGAAUCCUAAGGCCGGCGGGAGAAGCAUUGUUAAGGAACUCGGCAAAAUGACCCUGUAACUUCGGGAUAAAGGGUGCCCACGAGAGUGGGCCGCAGAGAAUAGGCUCAAGCAACUGUUUAGCAAAAACACAGGUCUAUGCAAAACCGAAAGGUGAGGUAUAUGGGCUGACGCCUGCCCGGUGCUGGAAGGUUAAGAGGAGAGGUUAG